GAUGAACGCUGGCGGCGUGCCUAAUACAUGCAAGUCGAGCGAACAGAUGAGGCGCUUGCUCCUCUGACGUUAGCGGCGGACGGGUGAGUAACACGUGGAUAACCUACCUAUAAGACUGGGAUAACUUCGGGAAACCGGCGCUAAUACCGGAUAAUCUAUUGAACCGCAUGGUUCAAUAGUGAAAGACGGUUUUGCUGUCACUUAUAGAUGGAUCCGCGCCGCAUUAGCUAGUUGGUAAGGUAACGGCUUUCCAAGGCAACGAUGCGUAGCCGAACUGAGGGAGGGAUCGGCGACCCUGGAACUGAGACGCGGACCAGACUCCUACGGGAGGCAGCAGUAGGGAACCGUCCGCAAUGGGCGAAAGCCUGACGGAGCAACGCGGAGUGAGUGGUGGAGGUCUUCGGAUCGUAAAGCUCUGUUAUGAGGGAAGAACAAAUGUGUAAGUAACUAUGCACGUCGUGACGGUACCUAAUCAGAAAGCCACGGCUAACUACGUG
rnacentral:rRNA from 1 species